rnacentral:lncRNA from 1 species
CCGGCCAAGGGACUUUAGCAUGGGAAAUUCGGCUAGGGUAGUGCUUGUAUAAAUUUGGCACAAGGGGGUAAGUGAGCCGUUUUCUGAUCACUCUUCCUCUCCUUUUAUUUUUAUUUUUCUCUCCAUUUGUUAUUCUUUUCUUCUUCUAUUCCCCAUAGCCGAAUCCUUCAACCACCUUACUCUAUAUCACCUUCCUUCCAUUAUUUUUAAAACUAUAGCCGAUUGCCUUAAAUCCUAAAAUCUCGAAAACUUGAUUCCUCUUAUAUCGAUUUCCCUAGACAAUUCUCUUAAUUUUUCUCAUCAUCUUUGGCUGAUUCUCUUAUCCUCUAAACCUCAAGUUUCUG